rnacentral:lncRNA from 1 species
AAGAAGUCAGGCCCCAAAGCCACGGUUUGAGCAAACCGUGCUGCCUGUAGCUCCGUCGUGGGGACGUAAAAACCUGGGAGGCUGCAAACUGUGGAAGCUGUACGCACAGUGUAGCAGACUAGUGGUUAGAGGAGACCCCUCCCAUGACACAACGCAGCAGCGGGGCCCGAGCACUGAGGGAAGCUGUACCUC